rnacentral:rRNA from 1 species
UCGGGAAUUUUGGGCAAUGGGCGAAAGCCUGACCCAGCAACGCCGCGUGAGGGAUGAAGUAUUUCGGUAUGUAAACCUCGAAAGAAUGGGAAGAAUAAAUGACGGUACCAUUUAUAGGCUCCGACUAACUACGUGCCAGCAGCCGCGGUAAUACGUAGGGAGCAAGCGUUGUUCGGAUUUACUGGGCGUAAAGGGCGCGUAGGCGGCGCGGUAAGUCACUUGUGAAAUCUCUGAGCUUAACUCAGAACGGCCAAGUGAUACUGCUGUGCUAGAGUGCGGAAGAGGCAACCGGAAUUCUUGGUGUAGCGGUGAAAUGCGUAGAUAUCAAGAGGAACACCUGAGGCGAAGGCGGGUUGCUGGGCCGACACUGACGCUGAUGCGCGAAAGCCAGGGGAGCAAACG